UCCCUUGCCUUUGAGUUGAGGUCAGAUCCAAAAAAUAUCACUAAAACUUGAUGUCAAGGAGCUUGUUGUCCAUGUUUUCUAUUAGGAGUUUUAUGGUUUCAGGUCUUAAAUUCAGGUCCUUAAUUC